CAAUAAGCGGAGGAAAAGAAACUAACAAGGAUUCCCCUAGUAACUGCGAGUGAAGCGGGAAAAGCUCAAAUUUAAAAUCUGGCGGUCUAUGGCUGUCCGAGUUGUAAUCUAGAGAAGUAAUGCCCGCGCUGGACCGUGUACAAGUCUCCUGGAAUGGAGCGUCAUAGAGGGUGAGAAUCCCGUCUCUGACACGGACUACCAGGGCUUUGUGGUAUGCUCUCAAAGAGUCGAGUUGUUUGGGAAUGCAGCUCUAAAUGGGUGGUAAAUUCCAUCUAAAGCUAAAUAUUGGCGAGAGACCGAUAGCGAACAAGUACCGUGAGGGAAAGAUGAAAAGAACUUUGGAAAGAGAGUUAAACAGUACGUGAAAUUGCUGAAAGGGAAACGCUUGAAGUCAGUCGCGUUAGCUAGGAAUCAGCCUUGCUUUUGCUUGGUGUAUUUUCUGGUUGACGGGUCAGCAUCAAUUUUGACUGCUGGAAAAAGGCCUUGGGAAUGUGGCAGCUUUGGCUGUGUUAUAGCCCUUGGUCACAUACAGCAGUUGGGAUUGAGGAACUCAGCACGCCGCAAGGCCGGGUUUCGACCACGUUCGUGCUUAGGAUGCUGGCAUAAUGGCUUUAAGCGACCCGUCUUGAAACACGGACCAAGGAGUCUAACAUGCCUGCGAGUGUUUGGGUGGUAAACCCUUGCGCGUAAUGAAAGUGAAAGUUGAGAUCCCUGUCGUGGGGAGCAUCGACGCCCGGACUUGAACUUUUGUGACGGAUCCGCGGUAGAGCAUGUAUGUUGGGACCCGAAAGAUGGUGAACUAUGCCUGAAUAGGGUGAAGCCAGAGGAAACUCUGGUGGAGGCUCGUAGCGAUUCUGACGUGCAAAUCGAUCGUCAAAUUUGGGUAUAGGGGCGAAAGACUAAUCGAACCAUC
rnacentral:rRNA from 1 species